UGGGGAAUUUUGGACAAUGGGCGCAAGCCUGAUCCAGCCAUGCCGCGUGCGGGAAGAAGGCCUUCGGGUUGUAAACCGCUUUUGUCAGGGAAGAAAUCUUCUGAGUUAAUACCUCGGGAGGAUGACGGUACCUGAAGAAUAAGCACCGGCUAACUGCGUGCCAGCAGCCGCGGUAAUACGUAGGGUGCAAGCGUUAAUCGGAAUUACUGGGCGUAAAGCGUGCGCAGGCGGCUUUGUAAGACAGAGGUGAAAUCCCCGGGCUCAACCUGGGAACUGCCUUUGUGACUGCAAGGCUUGAGUGCGGCAGAGGGGGGAUGGAAUUCCGCGUGUAGCAGUGAAAUGCGUAGAUAUGCGGAGGAACACCGAUGGCGAAGGCAAUCCCCUGGGCCUGCACUGACGCUCAUGCACGAAAGCGUGGGGAGCAAACAGGAUUAGAUACCCUGGUAGUCCACGCCCUAAACGAUGUCAACUGGUUGUUGGGAAGGUUCCUUCUCAGUAACGUAGCUAACGCGUGAAGUUGACCGCCUGGGGAGUACGGCCGCAAGGUUGAAACUCAAAUGAAUUGACGGGGUCA
rnacentral:rRNA from 1 species